GCCCGGUUGGCACAAUUGGUUAGCGCGUGAGACUUUUAAUCUCAAGGCUGAGGGGUAAGCAGAUGUUUACCGCCACCAAUUAGUAACGCUCACUAACUUUCUCAAGUUCGAGUCCCUCAUCGGGCG